rnacentral:rRNA from 1 species
GAUGAACGCUGGCGGCGUGCCUAAUACAUGCAAGUCGAGCGAACGGACGAGAAGCUUGCUUCUCUGAUGUUAGCGGAGGACGGGUGAGUAACACGUGGAUAACCUACCUAUAAGACUGGGAUAACUUCGGGAAACCGGAGCUAAUACCGGAUAAUAUUUUGAACCGCAUGGUUCAAAAGUGAAAGACGGUCUUGCUGUCACUUAUAGAUGGAUCCGCGCUGCAUUAGCUAGUUGGUAAGGUAACGGCUUACCAAGGCAACGAUGCAUAGCCGACCUGAGAGGGUGAUCGGCCACACUGGAACUGAGACACGGUCCAGACUCCUACGGGAGGCAGCAGUAGGGAAUCUUCCGCAAUGGGCGAAAGCCUGACGGAGCAACGCCGCGUGAGUGAUGAAGGUCUUCGGAUCGUAAAACUCUGUUAUUAGGGAAGAACAUAUGUGUAAGUAACUGUGCACAUCUUGACGGUACCUAAUCAGAAAGCCACGGCUAACUACGUG